UGUGCGCUUUUCCUGCUUCUCACCAGAAAAACUAUGCAAGUCAUUACCCACAACCUUGUCAUCUGAAUCACCAUUUGCAUCCUUCAAAAUCAGCUGCACAUGCUGAGGACGAGGAGGGCGCUUGUCCUUUUCAAAAUUUGAGGUUUGAUUUUGCUGCUCAGACUGGACCCCAGAAGAUUGGUUUUGGCGUGAGUCCUUGUUUAAAAGUAUGCUUCUGAUUAUCCUGCCACUGGCCUCGCGUCGCUGGCUCUGUUUGAG
rnacentral:misc_RNA from 1 species